GAUGAUCGCUGGCGGCAUGCCUAAUACAUGCAAGUCGAACGAGAGGAAGGAAAGCUUGCUUUUCUGAAUCUAGUGGCGAACGGGUGAGUAACACGUAGGUAACCUGCCCAUGUGCCCGGGAUAACUUCUGGAAACGGAUGCUAAAACCGGAUAGGUAGCAGACAAGCAUUUGACUGCUAUUAAAGUGGCUAAGGCCAUGAACAUGGAUGGACCUGCGGUGCAUUAGCUAGUUGGUGAGGUAACGGCCCACCAAGGCGACGAUGCAUAGCCGGCCUGGGAGGGCGGACGGCCACAUUGGAACUGAGACACGGCCCAAACUCCUACGGGAGGCAGCAGUAGGGAAUUUUCGUCAAUGGGGGGAACCCUGAACGAGCAAUGCCGCGUGAGUGAGGAAGGUCUUCGGAUCGUAAAGCUCUGUUGUAAGAGAAAAACGACAUUCAUAGGGAAUGAUGAGUGAGUGAUGGUAUCUUACCAGAAAGUCACGGCUAACUACGUGCCAGCAGCCGCCGUAA
rnacentral:rRNA from 1 species